GGCAGCUCAGGACCAGCAAUCUGUUAUGCUUGGCGAGAUUGGUGCGUCCCAACAAAAUACCUUCACCGUUGACGGACAAGAAAGGUUACAGAGAUAUGGAACAAUGAUGAAGCAGUUUUCGAGUUUUUGGUGAGUAUCUUGUUUUGUAUCCAAUUUUUUCUUAGCAAAGUUCCAUAAUAUGAUUUACAGGGUCGUAGUGAUUUACGUUCCUUACAUAAUAGUUUUUAUUACUUUUCAGAAGAGGCGUUUAUCAAUCAUUGAGGGGCAAUAUGUUCGGCAUAGCGUCAUGAAUAUAAUGAAAUAUUUGAACGACCAAAGUUGCCAUGAAGUUGAACUGGGCUGGACGAGAAAAAAAGAAAGCCAUUCAAAACUAAGAAUAUGUGAUACAGAGGCAGCGAUGUAUGCUUAUUCGGAGAUGAGUCGUUCUGACCUAAAUGAAGGAAUCAUAAACAAGGCAGUGAAGAACUGGUUGAAACUGACAAAACAGCGUUUUGAAUAUAAAAACUAAAUUUUGAUCGCCAUCAAACUGGAAGGUUCAGAUAAAUUUCAAUCCAUUUAUGAAAUCUUCCCAUUCAUUCAUCAUUUUUCCCAAAACCAUAUUUACCUAGUUUUUAUUUAAAAGAACGGUUGAAAACUUCUACUGAAUCUUUCAGUUCCUCAUUCAUUUUUUAAUUCAUGUUAUGAUUUAUAUAGACAAGUUGAAACAAAUAAAAGUUUUACUUUCUGUUCA